UGGGGAAUCUUGGACAAUGGGGGAAACCCUGAUCCAGCGAUGCCGCGUGAGUGAUGAAGGCCUUCGGGUUGUAAAACUCUUUUACCCGGGAAGAUAAUGACUGUACCGGGAGAAUAAGCUCCGGCUAACUUCGUG
rnacentral:rRNA from 1 species